UCAGCAUGUGUGUUAGUGGAAGCGUCUGGAAAGGCGCGCGAUACAGGGUGACAGCCCCGUACACAAAAGCGCAUGUGCUGUGAGCUCGAUGAGUAGGGCGGGACACGUGGUAUCCUGUCUGAAUAUGGGGGGACCAUCCUCCAAGGCUAAAUACUCCUGACUGACCGAUAGUGAACCAGUACCGUGAGGGAAAGGCGAAAAGAACCCCGGCGAGGGGAGUGAAAAAGAACCUGAAACCGUGUACGUACAAGCAGUGGGAGCACAGGUUUACCUGUGUGACUGCGUACCUUUUGUAUAAUGGGUCAGCGACUUAUAUUCUGUAGCAAGGUUAACCGAAUAGGGGAGCCGGAGGGAAACCGAGUCUUAAUUGGGCGUUAAGUUGCAGGGUAUAGACCCGAAACCCGGUGAUCUAGCCAUGGGCAGGUUGAAGGUUGGGUAACACUAACUGGAGGACCGAACCGACUAAUGUUGAAAAAUUAGCGGAUGACCUGUGGCUGGGGGUGAAAGGCCAAUCAAACCGGGAGAUAGCUGGUUCUCCCCGAAAGCUAUUUAGGUAGCGCCUCGUGAAUUCAUCUCCGGGGGUAGAGCACUGUUUCGGCUAGGGGGCCAUCCCGGCUUACCAACCCGAUGCAAACUGCGAAUACCGGAGAAUGUUAUCACGGGAGACACACGGCGGGUGCUAACGUCCGUCGUGAAGAGGGAAACAACCCAGACCGCCAGCUAAGGUCCCAAAGUCAUGGUUAAGUGGGAAACGAUGUGGGAAGGCCCAGACAGCCAGGAUGUUGGCUUAGAAGCAGCCAUCAUUUAAAGAAAGCGUAAUAGCUCACUGGUCGAGUCGGCCUGCGCGGAAGAUGUAACGGGGCUAAACCAU
rnacentral:rRNA from 1 species